GACGAACGCUGGCGGCGUGCUUAACACAUGCAAGUCGAACGGAAAGGCCCUGCUUUUGUGGGGUGCUCGAGUGGCGAACGGGUGAGUAACACGUGAGUAACCUGCCCUUGACUUUGGGAUAACUUCAGGAAACUGGGGCUAAUACCGGAUAGGAGCUCCUGCUGCAUGGUGGGGGUUGGAAAGUUUCGGCGGUUGGGGAUGGACUCGAGGCUUAUCAGCUUGUUGGUGGGGUAGUGGCUUACCAAGGCUUUGACGGGUAGCCGGCCUGAGAGGGUGACCGGCGUCAUUGGGACUGAGAUACGGCCCAGAAGCCUACGGGAGGCAGCAGUGGGGAAUAUUGCACAAUGGGCGGAAGCCUGAUGCAGCAACGCCGCGUGCGGGAUGACGGCCUUCGGGUUGUAAACCGCUUUCGCCUGUGACGAAGCGUGAGUGACGGUAAUGGGUAAAGAAGCACCGGCUAACUACGUG
rnacentral:rRNA from 1 species